UAAAUCACAGAUGGGUUUCCACAAGCAACAGAAAAGAAACUGAAAAAAGCGCUUCCAAAAUUGAACCUUCUUCCCAUUCUCGGAUCACACUGUUUCUUCAUUCCUUAACCGAACGCGCUUUUUUCCAUCAUCACCAUCGUUGCUAUCUUCGUUUCUCAAUCUAUUCUCACAUUGCACGUGGUGGUGAUGUCACUUAAAGCGAUUCACCAAACAUGAUCAACAACUCUUUAUAAUAAAAGAAACUUUUUAUCUUUUCGUUGUUGCAGAUUUUGGGGUUACCGAGCGAUUAGGGUUUCCGAUGACGGGGUACGACGAUGACUGUGGCGGUGAGUUGAAAAAGGAGGUAGUGUCGGACCUCACUAUCACAAUCGAAGCUGAUGAUAACAAAGGGGAUUAUAUCAAAUUGAUUUCUUGCUCCGAUGAGGGUUCACCGUUAGGUGUGGCCGAGGAGAAGGAGGAGUGUUCUCCGCCGGCGAGGAGAUCCGUUGUGUGGUACUGGAUUAAAAUGGUGUUGUUGUUUUUAUUCUUAGGGUUUUGUGCUGUUGCUGUGCUCAAGUGGGUUGGACCUUAUUUCAUAGACAAGGAGAUUAUUCCAAUAAUAAAUUGGGAAACAGAAACUUUCAGUCCUCCGGUGCUUACUAUUUUGGUGUUUGCUUCGGUAGCACUUUUUCCAACUAUACUUUUGCCAUCUACACCCUCUAUGUGGGUUGCUGGAAUGAAAUAUGGUUAUGGAUUUGGGUUCUUGCUAAUAAUACCUGCAGUAGCUAUUGGUGUUUCACUCCCUUUUAUCAUUGGCUCAAUCUUCCAUCAUAAAAUUGAAGGAUGGUUGGAGAAGUAUCCAAAGAAAGCUUCUAUCCUAAAGUCUGCUGGCGGUGGAAGCUGGUUUCAUCAGUUUCGAGCAGUUGCCUUAAUCAGGAUUUCUCCAUUUCCUUACAUGAUCUACAACUAUUGUGCUGUGGCAACAAAUGUCAAGUACGGGCCUUAUAUAAUUGGAUCCUUGGUUGGAAUAGUGCCAGAAAUAUUCGUUGCAAUCUAUACGUUAUGCUUGAGUAUGUUUAGCCGUAUAUGGUUAUUUCAAGAAAAUACAAUUGUUUACUAGUUUUGUAUGGUAAAAGUUGCUUCAAUUAGAAUUUUUUUAUGUUUAUAAAUUUUGAAUGACUGGAUUGAUACUCCUCCAUACUCUUCCUGUUUACAAUGUUUUCAUGUCUCCCUCAAUUAGAAAUGAUUUGGUGAACUGAUGAAUCUGUUAUAUGUUCCUCCAUUAAUUAUUUUCAUGUUUUUGAGGUGGGUGAUUGCUUUUGCUUUAUGCUUUUCGGUUUGUAGUUGUAUUUAAAACUAAUUUCCUUAUGUAUGCUUACAAUUCAGCUCAAGAAUUUGUUUUUGGUCAUCGAAGUUCAUUGAUUUUACAAUUUGUACUUUAGACAAGUGCAAUUUUUUAUGUGUGAUCAACUGAACAUCUUCAUCUGUGUCCUCUCACGUUGAUCCUCCAUUCUUCCUUGAAUUUGACUAUUGGUAAUAUACUAGGUUGGAGAAUACUCAUUUGUCCGUCCAGUAGAUUAUUGUUUUUCUUGGAGCAGCUGGCUGCUUAGUUCACAUUUGUCUGUAUUCUCAUUUAGAUCUCACUUAGGAAUACUAUCUAUCACAUUUGUCUGUUCUAAGAAUUUUUAUAGAUGUAAGAGAUUACUCUCUUUCCAUGCAUGGCAUGUGUGGCUUCUUAAAUUACUCAUACUUGCUUUAUCCAUUCAAUGGUAAAGGUUGCCUAUCAUAAUGAUGGUGCUGAUUGCAGAAAUGCUGGAAUGCUCACCUAUGGAAACUUCACUUUCUAGUUCCACAAGCAAAAUAUUUAAUACAAUACCCUAUUUGGCUGUUCCCCCUCUAAUACUAUUUGCCACCAUUCUUUGAUCUAUUCUUUAGCUUUGAUGAUUCCCUUGACCCAAUAAAGGGGAAUUUUGAUUCGGACAUUGGCUGAUGCUACAAAUGAAAGACAAUCUCUAUCUGCCCCGCAAAUCAUUUUCAAUGCUUUAGGCUUCUGCAUAACUGUGGCUACAACCAUCAUUAUCACAGUUUAUGCCAAGAGACG